rnacentral:rRNA from 1 species
GCCAGAGCCAUAUCUCCCUGCAGUUCACACCUGAAGAUAAGCAGGGUUAAGCCUGGCCAGUACCUGGAUGGGAGACCUCCUGGGAAAACUAAGGCUGCUGCUGGAA